GUUCAGUGGGGUUAUACUCGUGCUUAUGCUACUGAACAAUUGUCCUAGCAUGUUACUUGGAAUUUGGGCAUGGUACUGUGGUGAUUUGCAGGUUAUUAGCUUUUGUACUUCUCGAUGGCUUGUAGCUAGAAUUACAGAGUUGUAUAAGAACCGAAAUUACUACGCUAGACUUGAGUUGUGAUUUGCCAUAGUAAAGUGUUUACUCCUAUAGUUCUUAUGGUAUCUUUAAAUAGACAUCUAUAUUGAGUGUAUCUGUAUUGCCCCUCUGUUCUUAGUAAUCUACUUCAUUUACAUUGCCUCUGAAUGCUGGAAUUAUGAAUGUUUGUUAGGAGUAGUAAAUACUAAUGAAUUGAUUUUGCUGAGAGUCAAGUGUAGUCAUAUUUGUGAAUGUGCCUUCUAUAAGGUUUGUGAAUUUGAAAAAAAAACUACUUAUAUUGUACAGUGUGAUCUUGCAUUUAUAUACAAUAACAUCAAAUAGGAAAAAUACAUAUUGCAUUAGAAUUAUAUAUGUUUGAGUAAAUAGGCCUUCUGACAAUUGUAAUCUCAGUUUCUUCAUUUGUUUUAGAAUACAAAAAUAGGCCGUCUGACAAUUGUUUAAUUGAGAAGUGUGAUGCACAUUCUUUUAGAGGCACAAUAGUUUCCUUUCCUCCACAAUAUGUACUGUGCAUAUAAUGAUCAUUUCUUAUUUCCUUAUUCUGUAUCAGCUAGAUGCUGAUUGGUGUAGUAUUUUAACAGCUGUGCAGGAUCAUUUGCUGCCUGUACCAGAGUGUGAAUGACACCAUCGACUUCUACCUCCUCCAUCUCAAGGACAAAUCUCUUGCAACCCAUGGUGUUGCAUUUGAAGUGUUCAUUUGUAAUCAGGUAGUGAUUAUUAUCUGUGUAAUGUAUGAUGUUUUGGAUUUCUUUUGUAAAUGUUGGCAAUGUGGCUUUAGUGUUGUACCAGUGAUGGUUGUUGUAAUUGAAUGAAACAAUUUAAUAGAAAAUUGUG
rnacentral:lncRNA from 1 species